UACGAAGGGUGCAAGCGUUAAUCGGAAUCACUGGGCGUAAAGGGUGCGUAGGCGGGUUUCUAAGUCAGAGGUGAAAGCCUGGAGCUCAACUCCAGAACUGCCUUUGAUACUGGAAGUCUUGAGUUCGGGAGAGGUGAGUGGAACUGCGAGUGUAGAGGUGAAAUUCGUAGAUAUUCGCAAGAACACCAGUGGCGAAGGCGGCUCACUGGCCCGAUACUGACGCUGAGGCACGAAAGCGUGGGGAGCAAACAGG
rnacentral:rRNA from 1 species